rnacentral:rRNA from 1 species
AUUGAACGCUGGCGGCAUGCUUUACACAUGCAAGUCGAACGGCAGCGCGGGCUUCGGCCUGGCGGCGAGUGGCGAACGGGUGAGUAAUACAUCGGAACGUGCCCAGUAGUGGGGGAUAGCUCGGCGAAAGCCGGAUUAAUACCGCAUACGACCUGAGGGUGAAAGCGGGGGAUCUUCGGACCUCGCGCUAUUGGAGCGGCCGAUGGCAGAUUAGCUAGUUGGUGGGGUUAAGGCCUACCAAGGCGACGAUCUGUAGCUGGUCUGAGAGGACGACAAGCCACACUUGGACUGAGACACGGCCCAGACUCCUACGGGAGGCAGCAGUGGGGAAUUUUGGACAAUGGGCGAAAGCCUGAUCCAGCAAUGCCGCGUGUGUGAUGAAGGCCUUCGGGUUGUAAAGCACUUUUGGCGAGAACGAAAAGGACUGUGCCAAUACCACGGUUCGAUGACGGUACCCGCAGAAUAAGCACCGGCUAACUACGUG